AACACACAUACUACCGCGCGAGCCGGAGAUCCAUCCACCCAGUUAUGGAUCCAUCAGGUACAAGCCACUAGCCACCAGGUAAUAGAGAUUUCCCCUCUGAUUUAGUUGGAUUGGGGGAGGCUAGAGAGGCUUGCUUGUUGUUGUGUUUUCUGCGUGAGAGAGCAGAGAGAACUGAGAGAUCACAUGGAUCCAGUGUACAGAUGAGCUUUUGGUGUGGGGGUGGUGGAGGUAGCAGGGAGAGGAUGGUCACUAGAUGGAAGAGUGCAGGGAAUGUUGCUCGCUACUGCUACUGCGUGUGCUAUUGUGUUAUUUUGUAAUAUUUCUGAACUGUUAGCAAUAUUGCCGCAGUGAGAUGAGCUUAUUUUGUAAUAUAUGGUCUUUUCCAGUGCAUUGCAAAACUAACUAAUAGUUUGUGAUCUGACACCCUGGUAACCUCAUGAUUGGGUGGUGCAUGCAGGGCACACCUCCGAGCUAGCCGAUGCUUAGUAUACCAGUGUUCUGCUGCAUCCGGUGCGACCUCAAAGAAUACCUUCGUCUAGCUGACCGUUGAGCACCUUAGGGACGACGAGGUGCAGUGCCUGGGGUGUAAGCAGUUCAACUACACGAUGAAGUGAGUGAAGGGGUUAAGACGGUUGCGUUGUGCGUGCGCUGCUUGCUUGCUGUCAACUUGUUGGACAACUGUACACGUAUGUGUUUUUUCAAGCCCACUGAUUUCAGCCUCUCCGUCUCCUUCAAGCCGAUGAGAAGUUCAGGGAUAUUCCUGGGAGUGCCUAUUAUGUGGCUCCGGAGGUGCUGAAGCGGAGAUAUGGAGCCAAUAAUUGCAUAUGGAGUGCUGGAGUUAUACUCUACAUUCUGCUGUCUGGCAUUCCUCCUUUUUGGGCAGCAGGGCAGAUCCUCCUAUGAAGCAUAAAUUUCAUUGUAUCCAAGGAGAUAUCUAAUGCUGAAAACAUGAGACUCAAAAUGUAUAGAGAGUCGGAGACACUGCUAGACUGUCAUUUAUGGGUGUCUACCAAAUUCACUAUCAACCACUGUUGUAGGACCGGCGGUUGGGAGGACGUAGACUAAGAGCUAUAUAUGAUGAUUCUACAAAAGAUAAUGUACUGGAAGACAUGAGAACUUUUAGGAUGCUACAGUGUAAAAAUAUUUGGAAGAUGGUAUGGUUUGCCGGACCGGAACCAAAGCAAGAACGAGAAGGAGCUUAAGUAGGGCCAUGUCGGGGUGUCGCCACAAUAGGAAAUUGUCGCUGGUGCUAGAUACCAGGGGAACCAAAAAAUCUUUUUUCUACAAAGGUAACGAACUUUUUGGGUCUAGAGGGACCAAGAUGAGCAGGCCAUCAACAUCCUAUUCCUGCUUAUCUUUGUUUUCUCUGUAUCUGUAUUUUUAAUCUUGGUUUCAACUGGCGUGUUGAGUGCAAUCUUCCGGGUGCAAUCCUCAAAUAUGGGAUGUCGUACUAGCCUUAAUUCAACAUCUGGAUUGGCUUAUGAUGGCAUGGAGUUCCAUCAUUUCGGCUGCUUGCGGCGGGGAGUGUGGCCGGUGCUUGCGGCAGCAGCGAAGCGGCGUGCGCGAGCGCAGUGUAGGCAGUGGCCAAAGGCUCAUCGGCCGCUGCGAGUACGCCGUUGGCACCAGGGUGGAAGAGCUUUUGAAUUUAGAUGGUAGUCGGAGGAGUGGGCCAGGUACUUAGCAAAAGGUUUAGCUGCUUUUUUAGAACAGAGAUGGAGCAUGGGUUACCUACAAGAUCCAACACAGAACGUCAAGUAGUGUGAUUAAGUCCAAGAAGGGAAAAAUGCUAGAGAGGGACCAGCCAAAGGAUAAUAUGCUUGGACUCACAAGUGCAUCUAAUGCUUCCAUAUGGAGGUUUUCAACAUCACAAAUUUCAUACUAAUGGAGUGGAGCUACCAAAAUAUCUAUUGAGGUAAAAUCACUAUAUACAUAUUGUUUUCCCCCGUUGCGUCAGGCGACACGCAUCUGUUGCAAAGAAAUAGGCAUCACCUGCGUGCUUGCUUUUGUUCGUUUCUAGCCGGCAAGAAUCCAUCGAGUCUUCCUCUAUGUGUGCAACCUUGCCAGCAUGGGAAUCAAUCAAGGUAGGGGCAGCCAACGUUAAGUAUGCCGGGAUCCAAUCUAUUAACUCCUCCAGCCAGCUUUGCACUAUGUGCACGACGUCCAUGCUCGAAAGCACUUUGCAAGUGCACCAUGCACGGCUCCACCGGCCUUGCGUCAACAAUUCAAAUCCUUAUCUUAUAUACUUCCUCUGUCUGAAAAAGCUUGUCCCAAGCUUGUCCCUUAAAUGGAUGUAUCUAGCACUAACUUGGUGCUAGAUACAUCCAUUUGAGGGACAAGCUUUUUCGGACGGAGGGAGUACUACUAGAUAGACACGUACUUUUUUAUGCAAUUCUUAAUUUAUAGAAGCAGAAGAACUGAUUAUGUGAAUUGAAUAUAUAAUCCCAUGUGUAGGUGCUAUCCAAGUGUUGUGAUUAUUUAGCACACAUAACUUGCAGGGAGAUAACUCUACAGUAUGAAGACUUUAAAAUACGAGUGCGUGUCGUCGGUGUUUUUGAAACCAUCUUCCAUCACGUCUACUAUUUUUGUAUUUCAUAAUAGUAAUUGUUCAGCCUUUGACUGACAUAUGGAUGAUAUUUGUAAUAUAUAUCUUUCUUCCAUAUGACGGUAACAUUAUGAUGAAGGUGGAACCAUAGAGAGAUGUGUAUUUUUAAUUGAGAUAUUUUCAGGAGUACCUUUGUGAAGCUGGUAUAUCUUUCUUUUACAAGAUAUGGUUGCACUUGCUUCAUCUACAUAGGCUGUCUGGAAUGCCAUGAGGCCGGGAUUGGUGUAGGAAAUCUUCAAAGCUAUUAUAUUGGUCUCAAGAAACUUGCAAUACAUCAAUGCAUUAUGAUUCUCCAUGGUCAUGCUUCUCCUGUUCACCUGGAAGUUUAUUAUUGAUGGGAGGGAAGCCACUUCUGCUUUGAUGAUUUCUUGGAAGUUCAGCUAGGUGAAUUUAAAAUACAAGUCAGAUUAUUUGCGAGAGAAUUUCAUUCCCUAGAAUCAUUGUCAUUCUUGUUGCCUACAAGGUACUUGAAGAAAAUACCCGAGACAUAUUUUAAGGAGUAUAAUUCAGCACUAAGGCUAUUAUUACAACGAUGGAAUCUUUGUUGUGGUAGUUAUGUCUCCAAAUGCGUCGAUCCCUAUCGGCUACUGAAGUAAACUUAUUUAUUUUUUCUGUGUCGAUUUCUAUUGGCUUACUGAUAGCUUAUUUAUUCUUUUCGAAUUUUAAUUCCUUGAUCUUUGCCUCUGCCCAUCUCCAUAUCACACAGAAGGUGCUCAGUGUAAUGCAUCAUGCAGUGAUUCCAUGAUAGGAAUUAGGAACUGCUCAUUAACAAAAAUGACCUGUAACAUUCAUGAAAAUAUUUGGGUUUGGUCAUCUACUUUUUUACUGUUUAUUUACUCAUGAAGAUAGCAGAUGUUCCUGUUUUUAAAUAUAGCUAUUUGUGCUUCCAGUUGGUAGAGAUCAAAGUAUUAACUCGCCGAUGUAGGGAAAAAGAGCUCUUUUAUAGACACUACUAGCAGUGGAUACAUGGUGAGCCUUUUUGAAAUUGUUUCAUAGAAUAAGGCCCGUAUAAGGUCUGGUCUUUUGGGUAUACAAUCCUUUCUUGAGAUGAGCAUUGGCAGCUCACAUAUGUAUACAGUAGUAUAUUUGACAGAUGAUGAUGAUCAUUGGCAGCUCACAUAAGGGCAUCUCCAGCCGUUUGAGCCCCCCAGGACAAUCGCCGGACCAAAAAUGGCACGUCCUGGGGGGCAAAACUCUUCCGCCGGCGCCCCCAAGAAUCCGUAUCCCCAGCCGUUGGUGUCCUCAGAAGAAUUGCGGGGCAAAAAGUGAUUAGGUGGCAAGGAAAAAAACGCGUGGGGGAGUAGGA